GACGAACCGUGCGAACGUUGUUCGGAAUCACUGGGCUUAAAAGGGCGCGUAGGCGGCUUGCCAAGUCAGGGGUGAAAUCCUGCAGCUUAACUGUAGAAGGGCCUUUGAUACUGGCGAGCUCGAGGGAGGUAGGGGUAUGUGGAACUUCCGGUGGAGCGGUGAAAUGCGUUGAUAUCGGAAGGAACGCCGGUGGCGAAAGCGACGUACUGGACCUCUUCUGACGCUGAGGCGCGAAAGCUAGGGGAGCAAACGGG
rnacentral:rRNA from 1 species